AUUUGUUUGGCUGGAGCGAGCCAUUAAUCCCUAAUUCUGGAUCAGCAAGCGAGGGGGAAAGACCGGACCGCUACGAUCCACCCCCUCCCUGCCCCCACCGCCCAUCCUAAAGCACCUUAUAUCGCGGAAACCACUCAGCCUCCUCUUUCCUCCGAGAACACGCGGAGCAGCCCCUGAAAACGCUUUGGUCCUCUGCAGGGGGAGCGCUCUGGGGUCUCCGCACAAAACCUGCUUUUGAGCCCUUUGGCUUUCUUCAGGCGAGCGCAGUCCGUCCAUCCCCCUGGCCCACCCAGCCGCAAGGGAUGCUGUGAAAAGAGCCGCUGCUUGCCGCCUCCGGCCUGCCGUCCAGAGGGCUCCGCCCGUAGAGGCUUAUAUGGAGUAAAAUAAUGUAGAAUGCUGCAUCACCUCAGCGCCGUGAAUUUAGAAGUUCCAGCAUGUUGUGAAGCAGACACAUCUUUGCUAUGAACACUGUGACUCACUACAUCAGUGCUGGUAUAAUAAAAUGCUUCUAAUGAUGUAGCUGUUAAAUUUUCUAAAAUAAAGAUCAGUUUAUUUUGUGAUGGCACAAUGAAA
rnacentral:lncRNA from 1 species